rnacentral:rRNA from 1 species
UACGUAGGGCGCAAGCGUUAUCCGGAAUUAUUGGGCGUAAAGAGCUCGUAGGCGGUUUGUCGCGUCUGCCGUGAAAGUCCGGGGCUCAACUCCGGAUCUGCGGUGGGUACGGGCAGACUAGAGUGAUGUAGGGGAGACUGGAAUUCCUGGUGUAGCGGUGAAAUGCGCAGAUAUCAGAAGGAACACCGGUGGCGAAGGCGGGUCUCUGGGCAACAACUGACGCUGAGGAGCGAAAGCGUGGGGAGCGAACAGG